GGUAUUCAACGACCAACGAGCGC
rnacentral:siRNA from 1 species